rnacentral:rRNA from 1 species
GGUUCUCUCCGAAAUAGCUUUAGGGCUAGCCUCAAGUGAUGAUUAUUGGAGGUAGAGCACUGUUUGGACGAGGGGCCCCUCUCGGGUUACCGAAUUCAGACAAACUCCGAAUGCCAAUUAAUUUAACUUGGGAGUCAGAACAUGGGUGAUAAGGUCCGUGUUCGAAAGGGAAACAGCCCAGACCACCAGCUAAGGUCCCAAAAUAUAUGUUAAGUGGAAAAGGAUGUGGCGUUGCCCAGACAACUAGGAUGUUGGCUUAGAAGCAGCCAUCAUUUAAAGAGUGCGUAAUAGCUCACUAGUCGAGUGACACUGCGCCGAAAAUGUACCGGGGCUAAACAUAUUACCGAAGCUGUGGAUUGUCCUUUGGACAAUGGUAGGAGAGCGUUCUAAGGGCGUUGAAGCAUGAUCGUAAGGACAUGUGGAGCGCUUAGAAGUGAGAAUGCCGGUGUGAGUAGCGAAAGACGGGUGAGAAUCCCGUCCACCGAUUGACUAAGGUUUCCAGAGGAAGGCUC